GCUGUGGUUCAGCGGCAGAACAUCUGCAUUGUCCGUGGAAGGUCCUGGGUUCAAAUUCCAGUUUAAAUA
rnacentral:tRNA from 1 species